CUGCAGAGAGGAUGACAGAGAACAGUGGACACACAGUUUAACAUGAUGGACUAUAGGACAGGACUGCUGCUGUUAACUAUCUGCUGGGCAGGUGUUGAUGGUCAGACUCUGACAGAAUCUGGCCCAGUGGUUAAAAGGCCUGGAGAAUCUCACAGAUUGACCUGUACAGCCUCUGGAUUCACAUUCAGCAGCUACUGGAUGCACUGGGUCAGACAGGCUCCUGGAAAAGGACUGGAGUGGAUUGCCUGGAUUGAUAGUGGUAGUGGUAGCAGUAAAUACUACUCUCAGUCAGUUCAAGGCCGGUUUACCAUCUCCAGAGACAACAGCAGACAGCAGGUGUAUCUGCAGAUGAACAGUCUGAAGACUGAAGAUUCUGCUGUUUAUUAUUGUGCUCGAGACUCACAGUGACUGGAGUUGGUUGAGCAGCUGUACAAAAUCCUACAGUACUCAUCUUUACUGACUGGUGGAGCCUUAGCAUUUAUAGUAUUCAUAUUGUAUGUUUAUUUUAUUUUUUAGAUCAAUUGUUCUAUAUUCUACAUUACAUUAUAUCUUAACAUAUAUUUUGU